GAUGAAGAACGUAGCGAAAUGCGAUAAGUAAUGUGAAUUGCAGAAUUCAGUGAAUCAUCGAAUCUUUGAACGCACAUUGCGCCCGCCAGUAUUCUGGCGGGCAUGCCUGUUCGAGCGUCAUUUCAACCAUCAAGCCCCCGGCUUGUGUUGGGGACCUGCGGCUGCCGCAGGCCCUGAAAACCAGUGGCGGGCUCGCUAGUCACUCCGAGCGUAGUAGUUACAUCUCGCUCAGGGCGUGCUGCGGGUUCCGGCCGUUAAAAGCCUUAUUUACCCAAGGUUGACCUCAGAUCAGGUAGGAAGACCCGCUGAACUUAAGCAUAUCAAUAAGCGGAGGA
rnacentral:misc_RNA from 1 species